CCAUCGUCCGAUUUAAGUUGUUCUUGUUGUUGGGUAGGUGGAUUCGAGUGAUUGGAAUCAUCGGUGGAGAUUCCGGGAAGAUGCCACUUGUCGAAGAACGAUUUGACGUCAACAUUGUUCUUGAUGGCAAUGUAGAGGCCGGUGAUUGAGGCUGCAGAGACAGAGAGGUGGACACCUAAAGCUACUUUUCCGUACUUCCUUAGGAGUUCUCUGAAUCGGCCUCCUGC
rnacentral:misc_RNA from 1 species